rnacentral:tRNA from 1 species
GGAGGGUACAGCUCAGUGGUAGAGUGUGUGCUUAGCGUGCACGAGGUCCUGGGUUCAAUCCCCAGUCCCUCCA